UGGAGUAUGUUUAGUUUGAUCUGAGAGUUCGCCAAAUAGCCCCGAGCUGGAGCUCACUGACAGCCAGUGUCCGCCGCCAUAAAGUCAAUCUUGCACGGGGACAAGAGCACAUCUGAGGACUCCUGACAGCUCGGAGAGACUGCGAUGACAUCUCGCAGGUGGUUCCACCCCAACGUCACCGGAUUUGAAGCAGAGCAGCUCCUGUUGACCCGGGGUGUCCACGGCAGUUUCCUGGCCCGGCCCAGCAAGAGCAAUCCAGGGGAUUUCACCCUUUCAGUCAGGCGCAACGAUGAGGUGACCCACAUCAAGAUCCAGAACUCCGGAGACUACUAUGACCUGUACGGGGGCGAGAAGUUUGCCACGCUGGCCGAGCUGGUGCAGUACUACACCGAACAACAGGACCUGCUACGCGAGACGAACGGUCAUGUCAUCGAGCUCAAGUAUCCGCUCAACUGCAAAGACCCCACGUCCGAGAGAUGGUACCACGGCCACCUUUCUGGCCGAGACGCUGAGAAACUGCUCACCGAAAAAGGCAAGGCCGGCAGCUUCCUGGUUCGAGAGAGCCAGAGCAAACCAGGCGACUUUGUCCUCUCGGUCCUCACCCACGAGGAGAAGCACGAGAACAUCGACCGCAAGACCAAGGUCACCCAUGUGAUGAUCCGGUCCCAGCAGGAUGGUAAAUACGACGUAGGUGGUGGCGAGAGGUUCGACACCCUGGCAGACCUGGUGGAUCACUACAAAAAGAAUCCUAUGGUGGAGAAGAGCGGCAUCGUAGUGCACCUCAAGCAGCCCUUUAAUGCCACGAGGAUAAACGCAGCCAGCAUUGAGAAUCGAGUACGAGAGCUCAACAAGGUAGCAGACAAUUCAGAGAAACCCAAACAAGGAUUUUGGGAGGAGUUUGAGGUACUUCAACAACAAGAGUGCAAACUGCUGUAUCCCCGGAAGGAGGGCAUGAAAGCAGAAAACAAGAGUAAAAACAGAUACAAGAAUAUCCUCCCCUUUGACACGACACGAGUUGUAAUUCGAGAUGUAGAUCCAGAUGUUCCCGGUUCAGACUACAUUAACGCCAACUACAUUCGAGGCUCGCAUGAAGAAGGCCGCCAGGUGGAGGAGGAGAAAUUCUUCAUUGCCACCCAAGGGUGCCUACAAAAUACAGUUUGUGACUUCUGGAAGAUGGUACAUCAAGAGAACACACACGUCAUUGUCAUGACCACAAAGGAAAGAGAGAGAGGACGGAACAAAUGCGUCCCUUACUGGCCCAUCCUUCACGCCACAAUGAAGUUUGGACAGGUGCUGGUGAGAAACAUGGACGAGCGAGAGGCUCAGGAUUACAUCCUGAGGAAGUUGGAGGUGACCCGUCUGGACCGGAGAGAACCUCUGAGAUACAUCUGGCACUACCAGUACCUGAGCUGGCCGGACCACGGAGUUCCCAAUGAGCCCGGAGGGGUCCUUUGGUUUCUUGAGGAGAUCAACCGGACCCAGAGGACCAUUCCAGAAUCUGGGCCCAUUGUCGUCCACUGCAGCGCUGGAAUCGGCAGGACUGGCACCAUUAUUGUCAUUGACAUCCUCAUUGAUAUUAUCAACCGCCAAGGCCUUGAUUGUGAUAUUGACAUCCCGAAGACCAUCCAGAGAGUACGGCAGCAGAGGUCCGGCAUGGUGCAGACAGAGGCUCAGUACAAGUUCAUCUACAUGGCCGUGCAGCAGUACAUAGACACCGCCCAGAAGAGACUGGAGGAAGAGCAGAGGAGUAAGACGAAGGAGCGAGAGUAUUCCAACAUCAAAUAUCCGCCGAUGGCCAAUUCAAGGUCCAAACUUAACAUGGCAUCGUCACGCUCGUCGUCCGUAAUGACAAACGACGAUUCUUCAAGUGUGUAUGAGAACAUCAACUUUAAAAGUCCGCAGACGUCCUUCAGCAGUAACACCAGGAGGUAAAAUCGGUGCUGCGGCCUGCCACUUGUUUCUGCGAGCCUCGCUGGAGUACUCCGCCUCUCGGCCAAAGUCAGCUGGGAUAGGCUUCAACUCACACUGUCAGCAGAGGUCUCAUCGGCGGCUCCAAAUCCCCCCAGUGGGGGAGGCGGAAGCACGCUGUACUGCCUAAACCCCGUGAGAGCGCAACCUGCCUGUGAUGAGGGAACCCGCUUAAGCUGGACCUCGGCUUCUGGAGUUAAAUCUCCAUGAACAAGGGGGACUUGUCACACUUUGCGCUGCCGGCCCUCGAGCUCUUUCCGACGGCUCGCUCACUCGCUCGCUCCACUGCUGCCUCCAAAAGCCUAUCCCUCUCUUAAUCAAUGAAAGUGCCUUGUUGUCUAUAAUCAAGCUGUUACAUCUCUGCUCUAACCAGGAGUUGUGCCGCCACCGAUAUAUUGAAUUGGUGCUUAGGAAAGAUCAAAGCAAGCUCCACCCCACAGACAUCGUAACUGAGGGUGCUACUUGUUUUGCCAUCUCAUUAAACAGGAAAGAGGGCACUAAUCUCUGGUUUAUUUUUUUAUUUUUGUUUUAUGAAGAAGUCAUCAACAUCUGCUCUUGCAUUGUUGUUUCUCAUUGGCAGAGUUUUAUUUGGAACUAGUUCACAAAUUAAUUGUUUUUAUCAUCACUUAAGAUCUAAGCACGGGCCUUAAAUGGUACCUGGCGAAAUAUAACAAUAUGUGAUUCAAUACCCUGUAAUUUUCAAAGGAUUGUUAGGGCCACCCCAAAAAAGAUUGCGUCAACACAUAAACAUUAUUGGAAAAUCAUUGGUUUAGGAGAAUAAAGUUGUAAUUUAUGAGUAUAAGGUCAAUUGUAAUAUGUGUAAUGUUACACGGGGGGAAAAAAGCAUGUAAAAGAUGUCCUGAUCUGAGAAAAUGUCCUGUAUUUUAAGUCCUGUACUGUAAAAUUAGGAGGAAAAAGCUGUAAGGGGAAAAAAAAAAAGAAUAAUUUCAAAACAAUAUUAUUGUGACAUUAUAAGUCCUUGUAUUAUGAGAAAGACAUUGUGCAAGUAGUUGAAUAAUGUGUGAUUAGUCAGUUAUAAUUCUAUGAAAUAGGCAUAAUUAUGUAAAAAUUAGACUGAAAAUUUGCAUUGAUAAAAGUACAUUAUUAAAAAAACAAAUGCUCUACUUUGACAAGAAAAAUGUCUUAAUAAGAAAAAAAUCCAACUUUCCAGAAAGGUAUGUUUGUGUAACUAGGGGUGUAAUAUUACAAGGAUAAAGUAUUAAAAGUACAAUAUUAUUGUGGAAAAAAUAUUUUACAUGAAAAUGAUUAGCGAUGAAGAAGCCGCAAUAUGAUUAUGCAUACCUGACCUGCGGUAAAAAGAACAUGAGUGUCAAGUUUGACUUCAAAGUAGAGAUUGGGGUUUGCAAAAAGGAAAAGAAAAUAAUACAUCACAUGACAGUAGACUAAUUAUCAAGCCGGGUCAUCCGUUUUGAUCAGAGAAGCUAAAGUGAAGGAAGAAAGAUGUAAGGCAAUAGUACGUUCACAUUUUGUUAGCCGUUUGAAAACUGUUAACUCCGCCUUUGACUGUACAAUUCCUAUUUUUGAAGAAGGGAAGAGACAAUUCCUGAAUGAGAAAGUAACUAUCUCCGGAUUUCUUUUGACUUGCUGUCCUUGUUAAUCAUCAAGUCUGAUGCGCCUCAACAUCUGCCUUCGGAGAGGGUCACAAGGCAAAAGGGAUGGCGAUUACGACGUGCCAGAUGGCUAUCUGCCAGAGAUUGAAGAAUAGAUUUGUCUCUAAAAAGUAAUUUAGACCACGGCCGUAAUCCAAGCUUGAUGAUAUCUGAGCGUGCAAAGCACGUACGUCACCGAUGCAAUAAGGAAGGCCGUUGGGGCAAAAUAUCUGCGUCAAAAACAAUUGCAACCAUGUUAAUGGAAUGUAACCCGUCUCGGAUAUGGGUCAAGCUAACGAGAAUGAGGUUCAGCAAAUUUGGAUCAGCAUGCGUUGUGUAAAAAUGCAAAGUCCCACGCUAGGCACUAGGCUAGAUGGUCUUAAACAAUCGUCCAGUUGUCUUCCGUGACAGUUUAAAAAUCUUGCCGCGGCAGUCUCUUAAUUGGAUUGCUGUAGCUGCCAGGAGUUGAAUGUAAACAUUCAGAAAUUCCCAAAUGACUUCAAUAAAUUGUUUCCUUCAUUUUUGUUUCUGGCCCAUCAAAAUUAAUUACACAAACAGAAAAGAUUGUCUUCUUGUUUUGCCUAUGCCUCCUCGCCACAUUAACCACAGUUAUCGUUAUGCAAAGCAGUGCGCGUUUACAGGCAGUGUAUGGUAAAUGGUAAAAGCAACCAGCACAAUUCGUCUCAGGUUCGACAAAUCACGCUGCGCUUUUUAAACGAACGCCUCGCAAUAUUUGAUGUCUUCAGGUAGAAGUGCAAAAAAAAAGAAUCAGCCCCCAUUUUUUUUCCUUUGCCCCUUUGGCAGACUUUCUCCUUAGUGGAUCAGCUUUUACAUCUUUUUGUGUGUACAAUAAAGUUUGCCUAUGUGUUUUUGCACAUGCAAACCUUUAGUAAAUCAGGCCAAAUUUGUGUGCUCAACUGAAAUGGGGAUGGGGGGGGGACUACUACUUGACCCGGAGGCUCAGUCCAAUAACGCUGUUGUUGCCGCGAGCCUUGCAUUAAAAAAUGGUCCAGUUGCUAGUGAGUGCUGCGUUCACACUCACCUUGUCAAAUUUAACUUCUUUUUAAAUGUUUAUAACCUUCAUGACAUUGCUUCGCACUGUGUGUUAGAACAAAGUCUCUCUCCUUUUCCCUUUGAAACUGCGGCUCAUGUUUCCGGAAAUUUUUUGUUUCUGUAUUUAUGAACUUUGUCAUACUAUUCAUCUUUUUGACGUGUUUGAUUUUUCUUCCACUUUGCCUCUAUAUGAUAUGUUGUAACAUCAAUACUUGAAAGUACAAAACUGCUGAAUCUUGGACAUUUGUCUGUUUUUCUUUUUAAUGUUUUUGAUUGUGGAUGUGAUGUUCUUAUUCUUGUGUACAAGGAGGCUUACUUUCUGCUUGUUCUCUCAUCGUGUGUUUACUUGAAGAGAGUCGAGCGUGUCGCUCUUCCAACUGGCUUCUGCUCAGAUGCCUUCGAAAUGCUGUACAGUACAGGCCGCUACCUGCGGAUCCAAAAAGUUGCCAUUAGUGGCAACAAUCUGGUUUGUUACAAUAAACCUAGUGGAAAUGUUA